rnacentral:rRNA from 1 species
ACCAGUUUGGAGGAGGCGAAGAAAAUCGUGUGUCCUCUGGAUUUACCGCACGUGAAAUACCAUGUGUGCAUGAACAAUUGCAUCAUUUAUCGGGACGAGCACGCGGAGUCUACCAUAUGUCCGGUGUGCGGCGUCACUCGAUACAAGAAGAGGAAGGAAGCUCCUCGAAAAGUGGUGUGGUACUUUCCGAUCACUCCUCGUCUGCAGUGGUAUUUCGCGGACCCUAAGGUAGCAAAGCUCCUGCGUUGGCACGCGGAUAAGGAGGAGAAGAAGCGAGAAGAUGACGCAAAUGAUCCGGAGAUAGAUAAAAAAGACAAGAUGCUGAGUCACCCUAAGGAUGCGAGCCAGUGGCAAGCGUUGAACUUCGAAGACCUAGAAUUUGGGAACGAUCCAAGGAACAUCGUGCUGGGCGCGAGCACCGAUGGAGUCAAUCCGUUUGGCAGCCAGAGAAGCACACAUAGCACCUGGCCUGUGUUUGUGUGGAUGUACAACCUUCCCCCCUGGUUGUGCAUGAAGAGGAAGUACAUUCACAUGAGUAUGCUAAUUGAA